UACAGAGGGUGCAAACGUUGUUCGGAAUUACUGGGCGUAAAGCGUGCGUAGACGGUUAUUUAAGUCGGAUGUGAAAGCCCCGGGCUCAACCUGGGAAUUGCAUUCGAGACUGAAUAGCUAGGGUGCGGUAGAGGGAAGCGGAAUUUCCGGUGUAGCGGUGAAAUGCGUAGAUAUCGGAAGGAACAUCAGUGGCGAAAGCGGCUUCCUGGACCAGCACCGACGUUCAGGCACGAAAGCGUGGGGAGCAAACAGG
rnacentral:rRNA from 1 species